GGACUAUCUUUCCCCCAGCCCUAGAGUGUCUAGAUAAUUAAACCACAUGAAAGGAUUUUAAAUAUUUAACGUCCCAGUGGGGAACCUAAUUGGCCCGAUGCAUUUAACUUAAAAUGCCCACUGAAUAUAUACUAUUAUAUCCAGGGAACGAGAAGACAGAAACAACUGACCGAGGUCAAAUGACCUUGGGCAAACGUUGGAUUCUCCCUCUCAGGCUCAGUUUUCUGCUGUAACCGAAGGGUAAUAACAGUGCCGCGUGCUACGGGCAUAGUGAGGACAGAGCUGGCACAAGAGAUAUGUCGGAUAAAUUGCCAUGCCCCGGGUAAAAGUCAGAGCUGCAAGGUGAGGAGGAGGCAUAAGACAGGUGUGGAAGGGGACAGAAGGGCUGCUCAGACCCCCUCCCAGGGCAACCACUGUGCUGCUGGGCACUGCCUCUCUCCAGGGUCUGAGCAGUCACGCUCUUCGGCCACUUUAGGCCUUGUGGAGUGUAUGCCACACCUGGCUGGCUCACGCUGACGGCCCCCAGCAUUUGGCAUGGGCUGGGAUCUAGAAGCCCGGCUCUGUGCUCUCCACUAGAGUGCUUCCGAAGCCAACAGGACCAUCUGUGAGGACUCUGUGGGGUGGGGUCUCCCAGCUCAACACCUCUGCUUCCGCCACAAAGGCCAACUCCACGAGACCCAGAUUGUGACGUGCUCAUCCCCUGCCCCCUCACCCACAAGCCAUCCCUCAGGAUGACGGGUGAGUCAUUGUUAGGUCACCAGUCAACAUGCGAGUGGCCAGGGUGACCAGGCUUCAUUUCCUCUCUUCCUCCACCCCACUCCACCCCAGCUCUCUUCCCCCUCUUAAUCCCCACCCCUCUCCCACACUCUGGUGUGGGCAGGGAGAUGCCCUUAUUCAGAGGAGACAUGCUCAAAUACCCCCAGGGGAUGCCUGAAACCGCUGUACUAAGCCCAAUGUGCACUCUGUUCCAUCCUAUAUGCUCCGUGGCAUCACCACCUGUCUCUCCGUGACUUGGUGCUUCCUCUGCUGCACAACUUGUGUUCUCAGGGACCAUUAUCAAGUCAAGUUUAUUCAAGUAGGUGAUCUGGAGCAAGGGCUAAUUCUGCAGGCCAUAGGUGCUUUGAAUGCACUACGUGACUUCAUUCUUCUAAUAAAUCUGAGAGAGAAGCGGAAGGGGCAGCCUUUGCAACUCUUGGCCACCAGGGAAGGAUUGGCAGCAGCAGAUUCACCUCACGCUGAGCUGCCUCGGCAAUCUGGAACCCCGAUGGAGCUCUCCAAGGUCCUGACAAUCAUUCCUGGCUGGGCCCCUAAAAUCAGUGCCACUGUGAACAGGGACUAUUCUGAGUUUAUACGUCUGUAUGUCUACAGUCUUUAAAAAUGAAUCGAUUUAAAAUAAAUUUCGCUUCAUUGUUGUACUAUUUGUAUCACAGAUAAAAGAGAUUCUUUUUGCCACGUUUCAUCCUCAAUUACAGGGUGGAUCUUUUGUGAAAAAGCUGGCUGAUGCCGCAUGUGGUUCAUGAAUUGACCUGUGGUGGCCCUGAAGCUUUUGGCAUCACCAGGUCCUCACACCCUUGAAUCUUGCCUGUCCUAUAUUCUGGCUUUGUGCUCUUCCCAAUCCCUUUCUAUCAACUCCAGACAUCUAGAACGACCUUUCUCAGCUCUUAUGGGUUACUGUGGUUGUUGAAAGACAUCUACUUGUCUGAGUCUUCCUGUGCUGCAGGGUCUGGCUCACUGAGAUCUUCACUUAGUGAGCACUGCAUAUUGGACAGAUAAUGACUAACUUUCUGGCAGUG
rnacentral:lncRNA from 1 species